rnacentral:lncRNA from 10 species
CAAAAUUUUAACAACCUUUUUCUUUGUCAUAAAAAAUAGUUUUAUUUAUGGUAUCAGGAAUAAUCCAUCUCGUGUAUAUCAAACUGGUAGUCUAAUUAUAUAGUAAGACAUCUACUACCUGUGUUCAAAUCCUUGAAGUGCUAUUUUAAAACCUCGUUUUUUGCUACUCUUACAAAUUAGCUAAAACUUCGAAUGAUUGGGAAAUCUGCUUCCCAUGAUCCAGAGACCUGGUGAGAGGCAUCACAGAAGGCUAUUGCAAUGCCUUUUUAUUCUUAAAGAGGAGGCUGAUGCCUACAGACUACAUUCCCUGGAUGCCCCUUCUGGAAUGCUGGACGUUUGAGGAGCGAGGAAGGAGAGAGAGAGAAUCCAACCUGAUAUCUUUGCUUGUAACUGAAUCUCCAAAGGACUGUAGCUCCUGCAGGGUGAUCUCUCUCCAAGAUCAAGCUCUCAGUGUGCUCUGUGUUUCUCCUCUUGUCCCUUCAAGCCCAGGAGUGGGUAACUGAUUGUUGUUGCUAGUUUCUUGAUGCCUCUAAAUCAUUUAUAUGUUUCCUUAACUCUCCCUUAACUUUGUAAUGAUUUUUUGUAUUAAAUUCUCUUUAUUUAAACCAUCUAAUUCAAUUUGAAUAUUGCCUAAUACAAAUAAAUCUCAAGCAGAUUAAAAUUUUUAUUUUCUAUAUUUAAUGACAUAAAGAAGGGACUUUCUCAGCAAUAUUUAGUGACAGGUCAUAACCAUCAUUCUUGCAUUAAUUCUUAAUUAAAUCUGAGUUCCUUAUGCAUCUGUGUAAAUAUAGAAUCUGCUCUCAGAAACUCAAUUGCACGCUUACUAAGCAUUACUUACUUACUCACUCAGGAUCUUUUGUUUCAGCCCAGGUAGCUUAGUUCAUUUUAUCCUUUCUCUUUUUUAUGUAUUUUUUGGUUUUAAGAUUCUAUUUUUGGUUCACUUUUGGGCCAGAUAUUUCCCCCAUUUUUUCCUGUCACCAAUAGCAGCUCUUUCUCAAAUGGACUGGAGAAAUACAUUCUGUAUUAUAUAUCUAUAUACAUCAUUAGAUUACUCCUUGUUAAUCUACAAGGUUUUGUGGUUAUUAUUUUAUUAGGUUUUCAUUUUUAUUUAUUUGCAUAUAAACGCUUUAGAAUUUUCCACACAAGAUCUGUGGACCCCAAAGAGGCUGAAUAUUACUUCUGAUAAUGUUAUGUUUGUGUUUUAAUUUUUGAACAUUUUGUAUUUUUAUGUUUGCACAGGCACAUUCCAGAUCAUUUGAAUAAGCCAGUUAUAGCCAGGCACUGCCACAGAUUUCAGCACUUACUUCAUUGUUGCAUGAGUACAAUAACCCUAAGGACAUAAUUCCUAAUUUUAUGUUUGUGUGUAAUAAAAUAACAUCAUAGAAACAUUUAAUCAAUGUUGAAGGUCCAUGAGAAAUGGCAUUUUCAAUGUUCUGUACAAUUUUAAGUGUCUUGGGAAGGAUAAUGCCCUCAAAGUUUCUAGUUAAUAUCCAAUAAGGCUCUGCAUAAUAAAUAAAUGAAGUAUUGAACAUGUACACAAGUGAAUGACGUGUUUUUAUAUUGCUUUUUAG